UCAGACGAUGCGUCAUGCAUAUCAAUAAGCGGAGGAAAAGAAACUAACAAGGAUUCCCUUAGUAACGGCGAGUGAAGCGGGAAGAGCUCAAAUUUGAAAUCUUCAAGGUUUUACCUUGACGAAUUGUGGUUUAAAGAAGUGUUUUCUGUUGAAGUUUUGGUAAAAGUUCUUUGGAAUAGGACAUCAUAGAGGGUGAGAAUCCCGUAUUUGACCAUUAUUUUCAGCUGUGUGAUACACUUUCAAAGAGUCGGAUUGUUUGGGAAUGCAGUCCAAAAUGGGUGGUAAAUUUCAUCUAAAGCUAAAUAUUGGCGAGAGACCGAUAGCGAACAAGUACCGUGAGGGAAAGAUGAAAAGAACUUUGAAAAGAGAGUUAAACAGUACGUGAAAUUGUCAAAAGGGAAGCGUUUGACACCAGUGUUGUUUUCUCGAAAAUCAAUUAAAAAGAGUUGGAUUUUGUGUUGUAUUGACCUUAACAGCUUGCUUCACUCUUUUCCUGCUUUUUUUAAUGCACUUUUCGUUUAACAAGUCAACAUCAGUUUCUUUUGUUGUAAAAGGGUCAUUGGAAGGUGGCUUUCUCUUCGGAGAAAGUGUUUAUAGCCUUUGAUCUCUGCAAUCGGAGAGACUGAGGUCUGCAGCGUAGAUCCUUCGGGGUUAGAUACAUUUGUGCUAAGCUACAGCUUUUCAUAGACAACUUGUUGACUAUGUUUAGUCUUGUAACUUACCCGCUUAUGCUAUUUUACCUACGCUUAGGAUGUUGAUAUGCAUGACUGAUAU
rnacentral:rRNA from 1 species